rnacentral:rRNA from 1 species
AGUGAACGCUGGCGGUAGGCCUAACACAUGCAAGUCGAACGGCAGCACAGUAAGAGCUUGCUCUUACGGGUGGCGAGUGGCGGACGGGUGAGGAAUACAUCGGAAUCUACUUUUUCGUGGGGGAUAACGUAGGGAAACUUACGCUAAUACCGCAUACGACCUACGGGUGAAAGCAGGGGAUCUUCGGACCUUGCGCGAUUGAAUGAGCCGAUGUCGGAUUAGCUAGUUGGCGGGGUAAAGGCCCACCAAGGCGACGAUCCGUAGCUGGUCUGAGAGGAUGAUCGGCCACACUGGAACGGAGACACGGUCCAUACUCCUACGGGAGGCAGCAGUGGGGAAUAUUGGACAAUGGGCGCAAGCCUGAUCCAGCCAUACCGCGUGGGUGAAGAAGGCCUUCGGGUUGUAAAGCCCUUUUGUUGGGAAAGAAAAGCAGCAGGUUAAUACCCCGCUGUUCUGACGGUACCCAAAGAAUAAGCACCGGCUAACUUCGUG